rnacentral:rRNA from 1 species
UAGGGAAUUUUGCGCAAUGGGCGAAAGCCUGACGCAGCAACGCCGCGUGGAGGAUGAAGGUCUUCGGAUCGUAAACUUCUGUUGAUUGAGAAGAAAGAACUGGAGUUAAUAGCUUCGGGAGAUGACGUUAUCAGUCGAGAAAGCCCCGGCUAACUUCGUGCCAGCAGCCGCGGUAAUACGAAGGGGGCGAGCGUUAUUCGGAAUGAUUGGGUGUAAAGGGUGCGUAGGCGGUUUAGUAAGUCUAUUGUUUAAUCUUCCGGCCUAACCGGAAGCAUGCAAUGGAUACUGCUAUGACUUGAGCAUGAGAGAGAGAAGUGGAAUUCUCGGAGUAGCGGUAAAAUGCGUAGAUCUCGAGAGGAACGCCAAUGGCGAAGGCAGCUUCUUGGAUCAUUGCUGACGCUGAUGCACGAAGGCGUGGGGAGCAAACAGG